rnacentral:tRNA from 1 species
GCAGGGAUGGUGUAAUUGGCAACAUCACAGUCUCCAAAACUGUUGUUCUGGGUACCCUUCGGGAAGCCGCUCCGCGUCUACAAGUCCUAGUCUCUGCG